UCUUCUUUUUUGACCACUUUACUGCAAAGACCAAGAGUUGUUACUUCUGAUCACAUGUGGGUGCUGAGAAGGCUGCUAGGAUCAUUUGACUAUGGAAGACAACAGAAUGGUAAAGCUGGGAUGAUCAUGUGGAUCAUUCUGGAAGAGAGGAAAGCCCAAAGACAUUUCCCAAGGCCUUGCAACUAGUUUUUGGCUUAUCCAGAAUACUUAACUCCAGGGUGACUUAGGUUGCCAUUUACUAAUAGGUGCAACUUGUGUGAAAGGAUGAGCAUUUUGAAGAACUGGGUGAAAACUCAGUUGGAAAAGCACAGGAAGCCUCUAAAUGAGAGACAGCUGAGUUGGGACAAGCACACAGAGUGCAGACUAAACUACGCCCGUGCAAGGUGCAGACAUCUUCUCAGCCACUCUAUCCACGAAUGCUGUCUGGUGGCAUCCAAGCAUGGCCAAACAUUCAGAUGGAAAAUGAAGAAUCCAGAACAUCUCCCAGAUGCCCCAGGUAUCUGCAUUCUUGGAAAGAAGGAAACCGACUUUCAGAUGAAAACAUCACAUUUCUCUGAAGAAAAUGCCUUUGGUUUUAGUUUGAAGAGGGUUGGCCUCCUGCUGUACUUGAAAAAAAAAUCUCACUUUUAAAACACAAGCAACAGAUGAAUAACCUUUUCCUUCAUCAUGUCUAGUGAUUAAAGCAUACGGUUCUCAGUU